rnacentral:rRNA from 1 species
GAAGCGGCAACAGCUCAAAUUUGAAAUCUGGCGCAAGCCCGAGUUGUAAUUUGGAGAGGAUGCUUCAGGGCAGCGGCCGGUCUAAGUUCCUUGGAACAGGACGUCAUAGAGGGUGAGAAUCCCGUAUGCGACCGGUUGGCACCCGUCACGUAGCUCCUUCGACGAGUCGAGUUGUUUGGGAAUGCAGCUCUAAAUGGGAGGUAAAUUUCUUCUAAAGCUAAAUAUUGGCCAGAGACCGAUAGCGCACAAGUAGAGUGAUCGAAAGAUGAAAAGCACUUUGGAAAGAGAGUUAAAAAGCACGUGAAAUUGUUGAAAGGGAAGCGCAUGCAAUCAGACUUGUCGGCGGUGUUCCGCCGGUCUUUUGACCGGUCUACUCGCCGCCGGCAGGCCAGCAUCAUCUGGGUGCGCCGGACAAAGGCGCGGGGAAUGUAGCUCCUCGGAGUGUUAUAGCCCCGCGCACAAUACGGCGCCGCCCGGGUGAGGUCCGCGCUUCGGCUAGGAUGCUGGCGUAAUGGUUGUAUGCGGCCCGUCUUGAAACACGGACCAAGGAGUCUAACAUCUAUGCGAGUGUUCGGGUGUCAAACCCCUACGCGGAAUGAAAGUGAACGGAGGUGGGAAGCGCAAGCUGCACCAUCGACCGAUCCUGAUGUCUUCGGAUGGAUUUGAGUAAGAGCAUAGCUGUUGGGACCCGAAAGAUGGUGAACUAUGCCUGAAUAGGGUGAAGCCAGAGGAAACUCUGGUGGA